rnacentral:lncRNA from 1 species
UUUGUUUUUGUUUUUGCUUUCUAUGUCUUUGAAGCAGGCUGGGAAGAAAUGAUGAAAAAUUGCUAAAUCUCCAGAACUCCAGCCAGAGGCAAAUUACUAAAGGGAAGUAAUCUUGGAAUAGUUGGCCCUUCUAAUCCAUGAGUUGUGCAUCUGUGGAUUCAACCAACUGUGGAUCAAAAAUGUGUGGCAAAAAAUUCCACAAAGUUUCAAAAAGCAAAACUUGAAUUUGCGUGCAAUGAGUACUAAUUGAAUCCAGCCAAAUGAAGUGAUGUGUAGGCAGUGCAUUAGUUAAUGUAGAAAUGACUUAAAGUAUUUGUGAGGAUAUAUGUAUGUUAUACAUAAAUAUGAUGCCAUUUUAUAUAAGGGACUUGGGCACUGAUAUGAUCUGGCUGUGUCUCCACCCAAAUCUCAACUUGAAUUGUAUCUCCUAGAAUUCCCACAGGUUGUGGGAGGAAACCAGGGGGUAGUAAUUGACUCAUGGGGCUGGUCUUUCCCAUGCUAUUCUCAUGAUAGUGAAUAAGCCUCACAAGAUCUGAUGGGCUUAUCAGGGGUUUCUGCUUUUGCUUCCUCUUCUCUCUUGCUGCUGCCAUGUAAGAAGUGCCUUUCACUCUCUGCCGCGAUCCUGAGGCCUCCUCAGCCAUGUGGCACUCUACUUCAGGUUUUCUAAUUGCGGAAGGCCCUUCAGAGAUGUAAGUGUGGUUCAACAGAUCGCCACGCCAUCCACGGCACUGUCAGAUCUUACAAAACUCAACAGAA